GACGAACGCUGGCGGCGUGCUUAACACAUGCAAGUCGAGCGGUAAGGCCCUUUCGGGGGUACACGAGCGGCGAACGGGUGAGUAACACGUGGGUGACCUGCCCUCAGCUCUGGGAUAAGCCUGGGAAACCGGGUCUAAUACCGGAUAUGACUCCAUGACGCAUGUUGUGUGGUGGAAAGCCUUGUGCGGCUGAGGAUGGGCCCGCGGCCUAUCAGCUUGUUGGUGGGGNGAUGGCCUACCAAGGCGACGACGGGUAGCCGGCCUGAGAGGGCGACCGGCCACACUGGGACUGAGACACGGCCCAGACUCCUACGGGAGGCAGCAGUGGGGAAUCUUGCGCAAUGGGCGAAAGCCUGACGCAGCGACGCCGCGUGAGGGAUGACGGCCUCGG
rnacentral:rRNA from 1 species